rnacentral:rRNA from 1 species
CGGGGCGGAGGAGACAGGUGGUGCAUGGUGUCCUUCAGCUCGUGUCGUGAGAUGUUGGGUUAAGUCCCGCAACGAGCGCAACCUUUACUUUUAGUAGCCAGCGGUCCGGCCGGGCACUCUAGAGGGACUGCCAGGGACAACUUGGAGGAAGGUGGGGAUGACGUCAAAUCAUCAUGCCCUUUAUGAUUUGGGCUACACACGUGCUACAAUGGCGUAAACAAAGGGAAGCGAGCGUGUGAACGUAAGCAAAUCUCAAAAAUAACGUCUCAGUUCGGAUUGUAGUCUGCAACUCGACUACAUGAAGCUGGAAUCGCUAGUAAUCGCGAAUCAGCAUGUUGCGGUGAAUACGUUCCCGGGUCUUGUACACACCGCCCGUCACACCAUGGGAGUUGGUAACGCCUGAAGCCAGUGACCCAACCGGAAACGGAGGGAGCUGUCGAAGGUGGGACCGAUAAUUGGGGUGAAGUCGUAACAAGGUAACUGUAAGGGCGAAUU